GUAUUUGAAUUUGUGGCGCUUGGUGUCCGCGAGUUGCCGAAUGAAGCUGAGCGUCUCAGUGGAACCAGGGAUCUCAGGGAGAACCUUUUUGUGAUGAAAACGAGAUGAAACUAUGGAAGAACCAGAGAAGCAUCAGCCUGAGAAGGACUCAACUGAUUAUUGCUGGCUUUGAAGACAGGAAGGAGCCAUGAGCCAGGGAAUGCUGGUGACCUCUGGAAGCUGGAAAAGGGAAGGAAGUAGAUUGUCCUCUAGCCCCUUCAGAAAGGAAUGCAGCACUGUGACACCUUGAUCUCACAGUAGAAAACAGAUGAAUACACCUAGAUUUCUUCCUGCGUGAAUCCAGUUGAGGGGAAGGUAUAAAAUUUUCAAAUGGAGGAGUAU
rnacentral:lncRNA from 10 species